ACGAAUAAGGAAGUCAGCCCAAGAGCCCGCAGCUCCCGAGACAGCACCAGUUUACUUGGAACCGGGAAGGAAGCCAAGAACAAACGAAGAGGAGGGUCUCCGAAUAGCAGCACUUCUCUUCAGGUUCCACCAUUCCGGAGACAGAAACCUUAAUUCCAGGGUACAAUCUGGAGGCGUAAACAGGAAAAUCCUCCGGAGCGGCCUCUCGCUCGCCUGGGAGGGGAGGCUUGAUUCUUUGGAAGGCAGGGAAGUGGCUCGCGGGGGGCGACUGGGGAUGGUCCGUGGCAGCAACCGCGGAGAAGCAGAGGGGCGAUGCUGGCGCUCGCAGCGCGGGAUUUGGGAAUUCAGAACCGGACUCAAGGGUCACGGCUUCCAGGUUAUGGAAUAGAAACGUUUGUUUGGUAUUUUGACUGGUGUAGAUCACUUGAACUGGAGCAGUAAGAUGGUAGCACAGGGUAGGUAUGGCUGUUCCAAAGGGCAUAAAAUAAGCUUGCACUGCGCCGCCUGGCAGGUGGCGCGCCGUGAUCGUAUAGUGGUUAGUACUCUGCGUUGUGGCCGCAGCAACCUCGGUUCGAAUCCGAGUCACGGCAUACCAGAUACUGGUGGCGGCCUUACUUUUUCAACUCUUUUUCAAGAGUUGCAAAGAGUUUGUAACCUUUUCGUUUCCAGCAGCAUCGCAGAAAUGCUCUCGACAAAUUGGGUGAAUUGUUUCUGUUCAACUCGUUCCGUGGCUCGCCCACUCAAAGCAAACUUAAACAGUUCUGGCGGGGCCGCCCUUCAGGGAAGUUUGGGGAUCCUUGGAGCUGCCACCAGGAGUGCGGAGGUUUUGAAGCGUUCAUCAGCCUCAAAGGGCUGUAAAAUACAACUCGUUUAAGAAGAUCCCGAAGCGGGGAAAAAAGGAGCGCGCCCUGGAAAAGGACCUGGGGAGGAGGAGGAGGGACGCGGAAGUGCCCCGAGAAGCGGAGGCGUGGAUGGGGCGGGGCUGCAGGCUAAGGGCGCGCGCGCGGGGAGCCUCUGGUGCCGCCCUGCGGCGGGUGGGGCCCGCGGGUUGUGUAGUAGUUAUUGAUCCACCCGAGAACUUUGCUCUGCCCGGAAAGCUUGAAUGUGUUUGCGCUACAUUUGUUCCUGCCAAAUCGCCUUUCAGUGUUGGAAUAGGUAGGUGUGACUUAAAUUGUUCAAGGCGAAUAGGAGCCAAGUUUGGCCCAAAUCGAGAGGCUUCUCCACCACCACAAGGACAUUUAAAUCCUCAUACAAGUCGUCCGCCUCCCCUCCCUAAGGAUCGUUCAACGGUUCUGGGUUUUCUUUGUUUUUUGUGGGUUUUUUUUUUGUUUGUUUUGUUUUGUUUUUGUAGUUUGUAAAUACGCUUCAGUCUCCCUUAUGUAUCCCACCAACCAUCUCCGGGAUGAUCCAUACAUGAGGCCAGUUAUUCUCAGAAGUGUGGUGCCAGGACACACAUCAGCAUCACCUGGAAACCUGUGAGAUAUGCAAAUUCUCAAGUCCCACCUCAGACCCGCAGCAUCAGAAACCAGAGGCUGGCCCAACAAUCUGUGACCUAGCUCUCUAGGUGAUCUACGUAAAUAAAUGUUCAAGUUUAGGAAUCACUGAGUCAGUGCAGCCUGCUUCCCUGUCAACCAAGAUACAGCACGUUCACGGGUAGGGGACUCAACAUCACAAAGAUAACACCGCUCCUUAAUUUUAUGGUUUACAUAAGAAUAUCAAAAAGUGUUUCUUAGAAUUCAAACUGGGCAAUAUAAUUCUAAAGGUUAAAUGGAAAUGGAAAAGUAACAAGCAGAAAUAACUCAGGGAAAUUCUUUUUUUUUUUUUAGAACAAUAAGGAAGAACUAAUCCUAUGGAAUAUUAAUUACAGUAACUAAAAUAGUUAAGAUAUCAUGUAUGAAUCGACAGUCAUAAAUGGGACAAGAAUCCAGAAGUAGACCAAAAUACAUAAAGAAAUGUAGUAUAUUAGAAAGAAGAUCUUGAACCAGUAACUCUAAUGAGGAGUUUUUGAAUAACUAGGUACGUGUCUAGAAAAAAAAUAAUGGUCAAUGAAUAUCAUGUCCUUUACAUAAGGUAAAUUCUAAAUUGAUCAAAGAUUCAAAUAAUAAUAAAGAGAAACAUAAAA